rnacentral:rRNA from 1 species
UACGGAGGGUGCAAGCGUUAUCCGGAUUCACUGGGUUUAAAGGGUGCGUAGGUGGAAUGGUAAGUCAGUGGUGAAAUCUCCAAGCUUAACUUGGAAACUACCGUUGAUACUAUCAUUCUUGAAUAUCGUGGAGGUAAGCGGAAUAUGUCAUGUAGCGGUGAAAUGCUUAGAUAUGACAUAGAACACCGAUUGCGAAGGCAGCUUGCUACACGAUCAUUGACACUGAGGCACGAAAGCGUGGGGAUCAAACAGG